UCAAGAAUUCCUUUUUAACUAAUUUAUAUUUAACAUUAUUGUUUAAAACACAUUUCGAUGUCCCGUUAUUAAAACAUUUACUGAUUAUAUCUUUUAUUUAAUUUACCCACCUUGGCAGACCACUAGAACUAAAAAAUAAGCUUCAAUCCGUCCUAUGAAAAGGGUAGGGUAAAAUCAGAGAAACAGAACGCAUCUUGCAACAGGCAAAAUACACUAUAAUAUCUGAUAUUGUGGUCAAGUAAGAGGAUAACUUUUAUUUUGAAGCUAUUGCCAUUGUUAGAGCAUUCACUCGACUAUCUUGUCAAACAAUCUUUGCCCUCUUGAACAAGCUGAAAGACUUCCUGUUAGCAACCAGCUCGAGUACGUUUGUGCCUGGUAACCAAAACGGAUACGAAUGGUCUUGUUUAAAAAUAAAAAUAAACGAAUGGUCUUGUUUUGCUGACUGUGAACGUUGUUAUGGUGUUUAAAACGAGUAUUUCUAGAAAUAAACAAGGGGAAAAGCCAGCUGGCCACUUUGUGCAUACGAACUCUCUUGUUAGCGUGUAGCUAGCUAUGCUUCAAGCUAUUCACCUAACGUUUUAUAACAGUAUCUAGCUAAAUAGCUAACUUUACAGUACGUAGCAAGCUAACGUAAUGCUAGUUUUGAUUCUGUAUUUUUGCUAAUCCUCUUGACUAGCUAACAUUAUCUAAAAUGAUUUACCCCCUGCUUUAACGUUAGCUGACCAGUUGAUUUUAAGAUGAGCAAGCAACUUACAUUUAUUGUUGAGCACCUGAAUAAAGACCCCUUCAAGAAAAACGUUAACCUCAUCACCUUCGACUCACUGGAGCCAAUGCAACUGCUGGAGAUUCUCAAUGAUGUUCUGGCUGAAAUUUACACUAAGCUAUUGAUAUCCAUGAAGAAAUGCCUGACCAAACAGCAAAGAGAAUGUUCACUUUGCUAGGGAUGUUGAAAUACAAACCACCUGGGAAUAUGUCUGAUCUACAGGAGCAGUUUCAGACAGGGCCUGGUGACCUGUGAUUCACCCUAUCCUUCACUGGUUGCUGCAGAGGAUCACAGAGCUGAAGAAGAGAGCUUACCUGGCUCGCUUCCUGGUUAAGCUGGAGGUGCCUGCAGAGUUCCUGCAGGGUGGUGUCAUCACUGACACCCGUCACCAGUAUGAAGAACUAAUGGAACGAUUCAAGACCUACCAUAAGGAGUGUGAGCAACUGAAGAGCUCUGGCUUUUCCACUGCAGAGAUCUGUGGAAAAGUGUGACACCUUUUCAACCUUAGAACAUUGGUGCUAUGGAAGAGGAGAAGGACCAGCUGAUCAAGUGGAGUCAGGGUUCAACCACCAGCAGAUGCUGGAACUGGCCAGACAACUACUUGUGGAACAGGAGAGAGAAGAGUCUCUGGCUCAGCAGAAGAACCAACUAAUGA